CGUGGAGUCAACCUUGAAAUACCACCCUUGUAGUGUUGAUGUUCUAACCAUGGGCCCUGAAUCGGGUCUUGGGACACUGUCUGGUGGGUAGUUUGACUGGGGCGGUCUCCUCCCAAAGAGUAACGGAGGAGCACGAAGGUUGGCUAAGUACGGUCGGACAUCGUACGGUUAGUGUAAUGGUAUAAGCCAGCUUAACUGCGAGACAGACACGUCGAGCAGGUACGAAAGUAGGUCAUAGUGAUCCGGUGGUUCUGAAUGGAAGGGCCAUCGCUCAACGGAUAAAAGGUACUCCGGGGAUAACAGGCUGAUACCGCCCAAGAGUUCAUAUCGACGGCGGUGUUUGGCACCUCGAUGUCGGCUCAUCACAUCCUGGGGCUGAAGUCGGUCCCAAGGGUAUGGCUGUUCGCCAUUUAAAGUGGUACGCGAGCUGGGUUUAGAACGUCGUGAGACAGUUCGGUCCCUAUCUGCCGUGGGCGUUUGAGAAUUGAGAUGGGCUGCUCCUAGUACGAGAGGACCGGAGUGGACGAACCGCUGGUGUUCGGGUUGU
rnacentral:rRNA from 1 species